rnacentral:rRNA from 1 species
UACGUAGGGGGCAAGCGUUGUCCGGAUUUAUUGGGCGUAAAGGGCGCGUAGGCGGGAUGGCAAGUCGGUCGUGAAAUCCCUCGGCUCAACCGAGGAACGUCGAUCGAUACUGCUGUUCUUGAGGAUUGCAGAGGAGACUGGAAUUCCCGGUGUAGCGGUGAAAUGUGUAGAGAUCGGGAGGAACACCGGUGGCGAAGGCGGGUCUCUGGGCAAUUCCUGACGCUGAGGCGCGAAAGCGUGGGGAGCAAACGGG